rnacentral:rRNA from 1 species
AUGGUCCAGAUACUAUCACUCAUCCACAGCAGAAAUGGGACUCUGAGUAGCACGCCCUACAUACCAUCUGACGUCACAAACCUAAAGGCAAAGUACCAUAGAGAGAGCAAGUUGGCUGACAUAGAGGCCAUAAUGGCCUACUUAGAUGAGAAAGCGAAGGAAGAUCCAGAUUUCUUCUACAGGAUAAGGUUGGACGAUGAGGACCGUGUUAGGAACAUGUAUUGGGUGGAUGGUGCUGCAAGAAGAUCCUACAAACAUUUCCGAGAUUGCGUUUCAUUCGACGCGAUGUAUCUCACUAAUAUGUACAAGAUGCCAUGCGCUCCAUUCAUAGGAAUAAAUAACCACAAUCAGUCGUUGCAGUUGGGAUGCGGGCUCGUUAGGAACGAAUACACGGAUGGGUACGUUUGGUUGUUCAAGACCUUCUUGGAGUGCAUGGAUGGACUUGCUCCGAUGAACAUAAUAGCAGACCAGGAUUUUAGCAUGCGUGCAGGCAUAGAGGAGGUCUUUCCGUUGGCAGUGCAUAUGCACUGCAGGUGGCAAUAA